rnacentral:tRNA from 1 species
GCCCUUGUAGCUUAAUGGAUAGAGCAGUCCCCUCCUAAGGGAAAGGUUGCAGGUUCAAGUCCUGCCUCGGGCACCA